rnacentral:rRNA from 1 species
AUGUCGGGAGGCUUCUUCCGGGGGACGUCGGCCGACCAGGAUACCAGAUUCUCCAACAAGCAUGCCAAGCUGCUCAAGACGCAGAAGUUCGCGUCCGAGCUUGACCAUCAGGUGGACAUGUCAAAGGUGAAGAUGGACGUGAUGAAGCCGUGGAUUGCCACACGGGUCACCGAGCUUCUUGGGUUCGAGGACGAAGUUCUUAUCAACUUCAUCUACGGCCUGCUCGAUGCGAAGGAGGUGGACGGGAAGUACAUACAGAUCCAGCUGACAGGGUUCAUGGAGAAGAAUACAAUAAAGUUCAUGAGGGAGCUGUGGAGCCUCCUUCUCAGUGCGCAGCAGAAUGCCAGUGGUGUGCCCCAGCAAUUUUUGGAUGCAAAGGAGGCUGAGAUUCAGCAGAGAAAGGCGGAAGAGGCUAGAAUUGCCCAGGAGAUCCAGAAGAAGCGAGAGAAAGAUGGAAGGGACACAGAACUAGAUAAACACAAAAUGAUGGCCGGGGAUACUGGUAAUUCAAGAUCUCAUGGUGAUUCACUUGGCUCUGCUUUAAACAAUCCCAAUGUUGAUGCUGAGAAAGAAAAGGAACUGGACUUGAAGCAUAGCUCGAGAACAAAGAGCCGGGAACAUCGAAGACCUAGGAGCACAUCUUUGUCGCCCCGUGGUAGGCAACGGUCUAUUUCUCCAAGGAGGCGCUCUCCAUCCCCUUCCAGACAAAGAUCAUCACGACGUUCAGCUUCACCUAGGCGUUCUGUUUCCCCCCGAAGGCAUUCCCCAAGAGUUGCUCCUUCAGUGUCUAGGCGGAGGUCACCGUAUUCCAGGAGAUCACCUUCGGUACCUAGAUCCCCAUCACCCCGGCGGAGAUUUCCCAUUAGGAGAAGAUCUCCACCAUCUGGGCGACGUAGAUCACCAUCUCCUUAUCGCCGUCGGUCCCCAGCUCGCGCACCUAGAAGAUCACCAUCUCCUGCGCGUCGCAGAUCACCUCCUCGACACAGAUUACCAGCAGAUAGGCACCGGUCCCCAUCGCCAGGAAGACGCAGGCCACGGUCCCCAUCACCUGUAAGACGCAGGCCACGGUCCCCAUCACCUAGAAGGCAUAGACCACGUUCUCCAGGAAGACGGCAGUCCCUGUCACCUCACCGCUCACUGCAGUUGAGGUCACCAAAACGCCAGAGAAAAUCCCCAAUUUCAAUUAGGACGCUUUCUGCAAAUCGUCCAGUCUCUCCACAGCGGAGGAGGAGUAGCAGUCCACACAGCAGGAGUCCAAAUCGUUCACGUAGGAGUUCGAGCAGGGACGCAGAAAAGGGAACAAACGGUGCACCCUCCACUAAAGGCAGGGAUCUGGCUCAAAGGAACCAAGAAAGGAGUGGCCGAGAGUCACCGGAUUUUGAACACCGUAGGCUCACAAAAUCCUUGAGGUCUCCUACUAAUGAUGCAAAAAGAGAUUCCACACGUGGCAGUCCUUUGAAGGACACUGGGAAACAUAUGCCCAGUCAGGACAGCACAAAUACCAGUGGAGACGAGGAAGAAGGCGGGCGUGCAAGGGAGAAUGCACGGAAGGCCAAUUCAUCACGCAGGGUAUCCAAGGAUUUCUCAGCUGAUCUGCAACUAAAGGAAGUCAACGUUGAUAACUCAAUCCCUGGAGAAAAACCCUCUUCCAGAUCAAGACAGUAUGGCGGCAAGGAUGUCCCCAAGAAAUAUGAUAAUCAGCUAUCAGAUUCUUCAGAAGAUGCGCUUGAUGGUAGAAGAAUGAAACGCCAGGGUGAUUCCCCUGAUGAUUCUCCUGUGAAACGGCAGUCCCCUAGUAGAGCCGGCGACUCUUAUCCAAAGGAUGGGAUUAACAAUGAGCGUGCCAAAACGGAUUCAUUUGGUGCUUCUUAUGAUGCUAUUGCAGCGAAGAAAUACUCUGGUAAAGUUGAUGAAGCUUUCCAAUCAGAUGGUGGAAGUCCUCUUCAAAAAGCUAAGAAAAGAACAUAUGAUAGUAAACACAUUGAUCAUGGCAGUUCGGGCUCAGAAGAAUCUGAGAAACACAGAUCCCAGUCUGAGAAGCGAGGACAUAAAAAGGGUCACAAGCAUAAGAAGCAUUAUGAUGAUAGUUUUGAUUCUGAUUCUGACUCAGAUGACAAGGAGUCCAAGAGGAGGAGGCGAGAAGAGAAAAAGCUACGAAAAGAGGAAAGGCGCCUUAGACGUGAAGAACGGCACCGCAGAAGGGCGGACCGUCAUGCCAGUAAACAGAAAUUGAAGUAUGCUGGUUCUCCCCUGUCAGAUCUUGAGAAGGAUCGUCAAUCUGGCUCAGAUGCUGAUGUUGGGAAGAAAGGUUCAUACACUCCGAGAGAAGAACCUGACCCAAACAAACUUGAAAUUGAGCUUCGACAGAGAGCUCUUGAAUCUCUUGCAAAGAAAUCAAAGCAUGUUGUUACUCCCUCUUCAGAUGUCGAGAAGGACCGUGAAUCUGACUCGGAUGCUGAUGUUAGGAAGAGAGUUUCAUAG